GCUACCCCAGGAUGGGCGAGGCCACCCUCCGAGCGUAGACAGAACCGGGGAAUUCUACGA
rnacentral:rRNA from 1 species